ACCAGUUAAAAGUAAUGGACAUGAAGAAGAAAAAAUAGGAAGGAUUGUGUGGGCCCAGGUAAAAGGUGUCCCCAGAACAAUGAUGUGGCCUGUAAGGCUUGAAGGGGUGGAGAAUGGAGGCAAAUAUACAGUGUUUUGCAAUGCUGACCAAGCUAUAGGUGCUCAAGAAGAGAAAACACACUUUGGAAAGUUUUCUUGAUGAUGUAACUUGGGCUACAUCAACAGAUUGCUUCAGCUCAUCAGCAGUUGGUUCUCCAACCACCUGCGAUACAUCUGCAGUGGUCAUUGAAAGUGUUUUUGAUGACAUGAGUUGGGCGACACCAUCUGGCCGUUCAGAAACAGUAGUUACUCCAGGAUCUAUUGCAUGCACUAUGGUUGCCCACUCUCCCAAGACAGAUGUAGGUCAGAUGACAAAGACCCCGUGUGAUACAUCUGCAGAGGUCAUUGAAAGUUCUCUUGAUGACAUGAGAAGGACAACAUCUGGUUCAGAAACGGUAGUUACUCCAGGAACUAUGACAUGCAUUGCAGUUACCCACCCUCCCAGGUCAGAUGUAGAUCAAUUGGCAGCAACCACGUGUGAUAAA